GGCAUUUUAUAUUUCUUCAGUUGAGCACUGUGCUGCAUUCUAGAACAGAGCCACUCAAUAGAACUCUCUGUGAUGAUGGAAAUGUUCUUUACUUGAACCAUCCAAUAUGGUAGCCACAAGCCACAGCCACAUGUGUACAUGGGUACUUGAAAUUAAGAACUGACUUCUUAAUUUUAUUUCAUCUUAAUUGAAAUGUAAAUUAAAAAAAACACACAUAGUCAGUGGCUACCAUGUUGGACAGCGCAGCUCCAGAAUGCAAAAGCCCUGCUAGCAUGGUGUGUCGAGUGCUUAGCCAUGCCAGAUGGACAAGUCAUGAGUAGGCCACAUUUGGCUGGAAACAUAUAAGCUGUAUCUGGUGGACUGUGUCAAAGGUCUAAAGUUCAAGGUUUCAGAUAUGGCACCACAGUCACCUGAGACUUGAAGCAAGAGCCGCUCACCUGAUUUGAAACAGUUUGGAUAACAAACCAUUGGGUACUGCUGAAAUGUAUCAGGGAAUUAGUUGUCAUAAAAACAUUCAAAAUGAACAUCCCAAAGUGCCAGCAAGCAGGAAACAGACAUGUCAGUAAGGAAGCAGGGAGUGGCAGGCAUCCUCCAAUGGAGUUAGAGAAAUCCUAAUUGCUCACACCUGCAGAAGCUGUCACUUUUGUAAGGCUCCAUGAUGGCAGAGACCCUACCGAGUGCCGAACAUGUGGCAGGCGCUCCACACACACUUUCGGAAUGAAUGAAUCCACAUAUCAACCACAGGAAAGAGGUAGUGUUAUGGUCUGCAUUUCACACAGCAGGACAUAGAGAUACAAAAAAGAUUCAGUAGCUUGUCCAAGAUUAUAGUGGACGAACUGAGGUUCAAACUGUGUCUUGACCAGAGCUGGGCUCUCAAACAACUGCAAGAGUUGAUCAUCAGCCUUAAAAUAAAAUAUGAACCUUCAACUGUC